rnacentral:rRNA from 1 species
CUUAUUGAUAGUGUAAUGAGGAGUAGAAUUCGAGAAGUAAUAAAAUUAUUUUGGAAUAAUAUACUUUUAGUAAAAUGAAUUGAAAAAAGAUAAAAAAGAAUAAUAGAGUAGAGUACUGUAAAGGAAAGGUGAAAUAAAUUGAAAAAGAAGUUAAUUAAAAGUAAAAAUAAAAGUUUGUACCUUGUGUAUUAGGGAAAAUCAAAAUUAGUUUAUAAUAUGAGAGGUCCCGAAAAAAGAAGAGCUAAUAUAAUCUGAUAGUUUUCGUUUUAAUGAAAUUAUAAAGUUUAUAUUAGUAGUGAAAUGCUAGACGAUUCUUUAUAUCUGGUUAUCAGUGAAUUAAAUUAAAUUUAGUUGUUUUGAGUUGGUGUAAAAAACUAAAAAGCAAUAAAGAGCAGGAGGGAAAAGCUUCUUGUUCUAACAUAAAGAUAUCAUAAUAUUUCUUAUAAAAUAGCAUUGGAUUAGGCUUGAAAACAGCCAUAUUUAUAAAACGUUCUAGUUAAUACGGGCGAUAUAUUAUUAUUUAUAUUAGUAGUAUUUGAUAAAAGUAGCUGGUAUUUUUUGUUAAUAAUAAAUAAAAAGUUAUAAUGAUUUUAUUAGUAGAAAUAGUUGUGAAAAAGAAAAAGAGUAGAGUAAUAAUGAGAUUAUUAAACAGAAUGAAAGAUAUAGCUAAGGAACUCGGCAAAUGUUGCUUUUGCCUGUUUAUCAAAAACAUGUCUAUAUGAUUGUUAUAUAAAGUCUAGCCUGCCCACUGAUUUGUUUUAAAGGGCCGCGGUAUAUUGACCGUGCGAAGGUAGCAUAAUCAUUAGUCUUUUAAUUGGAGGCUUGUAUGAAUGGUUGGACAAAAAGUAAGCUGUCUCGGUUAUAAUAAUUGAACUUAACUUUUAAGUGAAAAGGCUUAAAUGUUUCAGGGGGACGAUAAGACCCUAUAAAGCUUGACAAUAAUUUCGUUAUAUUAUAAAUUGUUAGUAUAACUUGAUUUUAACGGGAGUUUGUUUCGUUGGGGCGACGGGAAUAUAAUAAAUAACUGUUCUUUUAAAUAUAAUUACAAAAAUACUUGGUAAAUAAUUGAUCCUCUAUUAGAGAUUAAAAGAUUAAGUUACUUUAGGGAUAACAGCGUAAUCUUCUUUGAGAGUCCACAUCGACAAGAAGGUUUGCGACCUCGAUGUUGAAUUAAGGUAUCCUUAUAAUGCAGCAGUUAUAAAGGAGGGUCUGUUCGACCUUUAAAUCCUUACAUGAUUUGAGUUCAGACCGGCGUGAGCCAGGUCGGUUUCUAUCUCCUGAUUUAGGUAAAACUAUCUUAGUACGAAAGGAUUGGGUAGUUGGAAUAGUUCUUGAAGGAAUUGAUUAGUUUUAAUCGGU